rnacentral:rRNA from 1 species
UACAGAGGUCCCAAGCGUUGUUCGGAUUCACUGGGCGUAAAGCGCACGUAGGCGGCUUUGUAAGUUAGAGGUGAAAGCCCAGGGCUUAACUCUGGAAUUGCCUUUAAGACUGCAUCGCUAGAAUCGUGGAGAGGUGAGUGGAAUUCCGAGUGUAGAGGUGAAAUUCGUAGAUAUUCGGAAGAACACCAGUGGCGAAGGCGGCUCACUGGACUGGUAUUGACGCUGAGGUGCGAAAGCGUGGGGAGCAAACAGG